GCAACACAUGACGUCACCAAAAUGGAGACGCUUGAUUGGAUAACCGUGCAGUUAAAUCCAGCCAGCUAACUCGUCUUAAUCCAAUCAUAACGAGAGGCUUUGCUCCAUGUGGAAACCAUGGCACAAAGGAGGAAAGUCUGCAUGGAAAUCUUGUAAGCGCUAACCUUAUCCCAGAUCCUCACCAAUGGCAUUAUUUCCAUUAUUUGCAAGGCUUCAACCAUGGAAAUCCCAUUAUGCUGAGACAGUCUGCAGGAGGUGGGGGAUGGCAAGAUGAGAGCUGAAAUCUAACUGUUAGCACUUUUGGCGGAAUGGGUUUUCCGCAAGAACCAGGAUGGCCCUUCAAACAACAAUGGGCGCACAGAGAGAGGGAGAAAGAGUGUGCACAGAGGAUGAUUCUGCCUGACAAUGAGCCUUCCGUUCAGCGAACUUGGGACGCCUGUUACACCAGACAAUGGGAGGGGGCCGGUCAGCUUUAGCACCGGCUCAGUCAAGAGCGAGCAGACCGGUCCGCCUGCAGCUGUGUCACAGGGUCUACCCCCUUUAACAUCUGCGCCAUUCACUCGCCUGUCAUCCCAGAGUGGUGGCUUAAUGCGCCCUGCAAAGGUCCCUGUGCAACGCAACCAUAAGCUGUGUUAUGUGGUUGCGGCAAUGUCUGUCCAUCAUCUGUAUCUGGAGAAUAUUACGUGCAUAUGCGUAUUUAGGAGACUAUUAGGUAAUGCCUGUGCAAUUUUUAAAAUAACUGCCGCCAGUUUAAUUUGUGUGCAUUGUAUCAAAACAAUUUAUAAAGGAGGCAAUAGUAACCAUUUUCAAGAUAAUGGUAACAUUAUCUUUCAGAAGACAUACAGUCAUUUCCAAAGCGGUCUCCCCAAUCGAAAAAAGUGAAUAAUUUGUGUGACCAAUUUCCAAGAAUCUGUCUCUCCGUGCAGCAGACACUGACUUCCAUUGUUCUACAGAGAGGGGGAGAAAAAAAGUCUUUCAAUAAAAAAGUUUGU